AUAUCAUAAGCGGGGAGAAGAAACUAAAAAGGAUUCCCCUAGUAACUGCGAGUGAAGCGGGAAAAGCUCAAAUUUAAAAUCUGGCGGUCUCCGGCCGUCCGAGUUGUAAUCUAGAGAAGUGUUAUCCGCGCUGGACCGUGUACAAGUCUCCUGGAAUGGAGCGUCAUAGAGGGUGAGAAUCCCGUCUUUGACACGGACUGCCAGGGCUUUGUGAUGCGCUCUCAAAGAGUCGAGUUGUUUGGGAAUGCAGCUCAAAAUGGGUGGUAAAUUCCAUCUAAAGCUAAAUAUUGGCGAGAGACCGAUAGCGAACAAGUACCGUGAGGGAAAGAUGAAAAGAACUUUGGAAAGAGAGUUAAACAGUACGUGAAAUUGCUGAAAGGGAAACGCUUGAAGUCAGUCGCGUUGGCCGGGGAUCAACCUUGCUUUUGCUGGGCGUACUUUCCGGUUGACGGGUCAGCAUCAAUUUUGACCGUUGGAUAAAGUCCAGGGGAAUGUGGCAUCUUCGGAUGUGUUAUAGCCCUUGGUCGCAUACAACGGUUGGGAUUGAGGAACUCAGCACGCCGCAAGGCCGGGUACUUGUACCACGUUCGUGCUUAGGAUGCUGGCAUAAUGACUUUAAUCGACCCGUCUUGAAACACGGACCAAGGAGUCUAACAUGCCUGCGAGUGUUUGGGUGGAAAACUCGGACGCGUAAUGAAAGUGAAAGUUGAGAUCCCUGUCGCGGGGAGCAUCGACGCCCGGACCAGACCUUUUGUGACGGAUCCGCGGUAGAGCAUGUAUGUUGGGACCCGAAAGAUGGUGAACUAUGCCUGAAUAGGGUGAAGCCAGAGGAAACUCUGGUGGAGGCUCGUAGCGAUUCUGACGUGCAAAUCGAUCGUCAAAUUUGGGUAUAGGGGCGAAAGACUAAUCGAACCAUCUAGUAGCU
rnacentral:rRNA from 1 species